GAUGAAGAACGUAGCGAAAUGCGAUAAGUAAUGUGAAUUGCAGAAUUCAGUGAAUCAUCGAAUCUUUGAACGCACAUUGCGCCCGCCAGUAUUCUGGCGGGCAUGCCUGUUCGAGCGUCAUUUCAACCAUCAAGCCCCCGGGCUUGUGUUGGGGACCUGCGGCUGCCGCAGGCCCUGAGAAGCAGUGGCGGGCUCGCUGUCACACCGAGCGUAGUAGAUUUUAUCUCGCUCUGGGCGUGCUGCGGGUUCCGGCCGUUAAACCACCCUUUUAACCCAAGGUUGACCUCGGAUCAGGUAGGAAGACCCGCUGAACUUAAGCAUAUCAAUAAGCGGAGGA
rnacentral:misc_RNA from 1 species